AUUGAACGCUGGCGGCAGGCUUAACACAUGCAAGUCGAACGAGUGGCGGACGGGUGAGUAAUGCUUGGGCAUCUGGCUUAUGUAGGGGGAUAACUACGGGAAACUGUAGCUAAUACCGCUUACCAUAGGAUGAGCCGUCGUGGGAUGAGGUAGUUGGUGAGGUAAAGGCUCACCAAGCCGACGAUCCCUAGCUGGUCUGAGAGGAUGACCAGCCACACUGGGACUGAGACACGGCCCAGACUCCUACGGGAGGCAGCAGUGGGGAAUAUUGCGCAAUGGGGGAAACCUGACGCAGCAACGCCGCGUGAAUGAAGAAGGCCUUCGGGUUGUAAAGUUCUGUCGGUAGCGAGGCGUUAACUACAGAAGAAGCACCGGCUAACUCCGUGCCAGCCGCCGCGGUAAUAC
rnacentral:rRNA from 1 species